AUUCGGGUGUCUUUUAUGAAUAAUCAAAAGCAGCAAAAGGCAACGCUAUCAGGCCAGCAUUUUAAAACCAGAAAAAGAGAUGAAAAAGAGAGGUUUGACCCUACUCAGUUUCAAGACUGUAUUAUUCAAGGCUUAACUGAAACUGGUACUGAUUUGGAAGCAGUAGCAAAGUUUCUUGAUGCUUCUGGAGCAAAACUUGAUUAUCGCCGAUAUGCAGAAACACUCUUUGACAUUCUGGUGGCCGGUGGAAUGCUGGCCCCAGGUGGUACACUGGCAGAUGACAUGAUGCGUACAGAUGUUAGUGUGUUUGCAGCAAAAGAGGACCUAGAGACCAUGCAAGCAUUUGCUCAGGUUUUUAACAAGUUAAUCAGGUGCUACAAAUACCUGGAGAAAAGUUUUGAAGAUGGAAGUUAAAAAGCUGCUGCUGUUCUUAAAGGGUUUUUCAGAGUCGGAGAGGAACAAGCUGGCUAUGUUGACUGGUGUUCUUCUGGCUAAUGGAACACUUAAUGCAUCCAUUCUUAAUAGCCUUUAUCAUGAGAAUUUGGUUAAAGAAGGGGUUUCAGCAGCUUUUGCUGUAAAGCUCUUUAAAUCAUGGAUAAAUGAAAAAGAUAUCAAUGCAGUAGCUCCAAGUCUUCGGAAAGUGAGCAUGGAUAACAGACUGAUGGAACUUUUUCCUGCCAAUAACCAAAGCGUUGAACACUUCACAAAGUAUUUUACUGAGGCAGGCUUGAAAGAGCUUUCACAGUAUGUUUGCAAUCAGCAAACCAUAGGAGCUCGUAAGGAACUCCAGAAAGAACUUCAAGAACAGAUGUCCCGUGGUGAUCCAUUUAAGGAUACAAUUUUGUAUGUCAAGGAGGAGAUGAAGAAAAACAACAUCCCAGAACCAGCUGUCACUGGAAUAGUAUGGUCCAGUGUAAUGAGCACCGUGGAAUGGAACAAAAAAGAGGAGCUUGUAGCAGAGCAAGCCAUCAAGCACUUGAAGCAAUACAGCCCUCUACUUGCUGCCUUUACAACUCAAGGUCAGUCUGCGCUGAUUCUGUUACUGAAGAUUCAGGAGUAUUGCUAUGACAACAUUCAUUUCAUGAAAGCCUCCCAGAAAAUAGUGGUGCUUUUUUAUAAAGCUGAAGUUCUGAGUGAAGAACCCAUUCUGAAGUGGUAUAAAGAUGCACAUGUUGCCAAGGGGAAAAGUGUCUUCCUUGAACAAAUGAAAAAGUUUGUAGAGCGGCUCAAAAAUGCUGAAGAAGAAUCUGAGUCUGAAGCUGAAGGAGGUGACUGAAUUUGAAACUACACCCUCAGUAAAGCAAACAGGAGUUGUAGAUAAAAUAUCAUGUCUCCUGUGUCCUGGUUCUUACAUCUUCCUACCUCCCUAUAUCAAGCACGAUAUAAGGGCUUUCAUGGCAAAUUUUAACUGUUUCUACGGUUACUGGAAAUGUUGGAUUUAGUUUCUGAAACCAUGUUUUAAGUAGCUACAGGAGCUAUAGAUUUGAAUUUAAUGUUGCAUUAGUCUUUUCACUUAUAUUCUACCUCCUGUAUUUUCUACUGUAAUAAUGUAAUUUAAGGCCUUCCACAAUGAACAGUUCACUUUUCCCCUGGGUUUUCUAUAUCAACAGUUUUCAAGAUAUGAUUUGGUUAAAAAUAAUUUGUUAUAAAAAUUGUUUGCAAAUUAAACUGUAAAAGUAAAAAAAAAAAAAAUAAUAUUCAUGUAUGUCUUGGUGCUCACGCACAUCCUUUCCUGUGGAGUAUAUAGUUAGGAACAGAACUGCUCUGUUAUGCUUUUGUGUAACUUAGUAGAUAAUGGCAAAUUGCUUUCCAAGGUCACUCUACCAAUUUACAUUCUUACCAGCAGUGAAUAAGUACUGUUUGUUCUAUGUUCUUACCAACACAGUAUUAACUUUUUCAUUUCAGCCAUUUUAAUGGGUAUGCAGAGAUAUCUUACUGUGGUCUUAAUUUGCAAUUCCCUGUUGAUGAAUUAAGUUGAAUAUUUUGCAUACGUUCAUUGGCUACUGGAUAGUCUCUUUUAUAAAAAGUACCUAUUCAAGCCUUCUGUCCUUUUUAAAAAUUGGAUUGCCUAACUUUUUCAUACUAUUUGUAUGAGUUCUUUUU